UGGUGCUUUGACAUGUGGAUGGAAGAGUUGAGAGAUUCCUGGUAGGCCCAAUGAAGCAAGAAGGCACUCUUCUAGAGAAGAACAGACUAAUGGAUGGAGACUCUCGGUACACGUAAUGGCUCUAGGGUGGCUCUUAGAGGUGCAUGAUCGGGUGAAUUUGGUGGAGUAAUAUACUCGAGUUAACAAAGGCUUCUAUUCGAG
rnacentral:misc_RNA from 1 species